rnacentral:rRNA from 1 species
UGUGCUAAGGUAGCAUAAUAAUUAGUUAUUUAAUUGAUAACUUGGAUGAAAGGUUUGACAAAAAGAAGAUUUUCUUUUUAUUUAUUGAAAUUAAUAUAUAAAUCAAAAAGUUUAUUUAAAUUAGAUAGACGAUAAGACCCUAAAACCUUUAUUGGUUAUUAAUCAAUUAACCUUUUUACUGGGGCGGUAAAUUAUAUUAACAUAAUUAUUAUCAACAAACUGUUUGAAUCUCAGUAACUUUGUAAAAAACAAUUAGGUACUUUAGGGAUAACAGCAUAAUUUUUAUUUAGAGUAAACUUAUCCACAUAAGAGAUUAUGACCUCGAUGUUGAAUUGAUAAAACCUUAUUAAGCAA